GUUUGUUUUUUGUGAUUUUUUACGUAUGCGAUCUCGGAGUGUGUAAAAACAAGUUUGACGGUUAGAUCAUUGAAAAAAGUUUCGUAGAAUUUAUAUCGCGUCAAAACGGUCGAUUCAAUAAACACUUAAGAGUUAAUGUUAUACUUCCAUUAAGUAUAAAAUAUUUAGUGUAAAUAUUUUAAAUUGAAGAUCAAAUUUAUUCAUUGCAUUCUUAUAGGGUCGAGGAGUGUAGCUGUAAAAAAUAAUUAAAAUCGGAGCUAAAAUAACCGUUAAAUUGUGAUUUUUCGUUUAUAACCGUCGAAAACUUUUGUUAUGUUACCUAAUCUUUGAAUGUUUGUUUUUUGUGAUUUUACAUAUGUGAUCUCAGAAUGUGUACAAAUAAGUUUGACGGUUGGAUUGUUGAAAAAAGUUUGGUAGGAUGCAUAUCGCGUCAAAACGGUAGAUUAAAUAAACACUUAGAGUUAAUAUUAUACUUCCAUUAAGUAUAAAAUAAGAUUUUGUAGUAUCCACUAGUGUAAAUAUUUUAAAUUGAAGAUCAAAUUCGUUCAAUGCAUUCUUAUAGGGUCGAGGAGUGUAGUUAUAAAAAAUCAUCAAAAUCGAAGCUAAAAUAACUGUUAAAUUGUGAUUUUUUGUUUAUAACCGUCGAAAACUUUUGUUAUGUUACCUAAUCUCUAAAUGCUUGUUUUUUGUGAUUUUUUACGUAUGCGAUCUCAGAGUGUGUACAAAUAAGUUUGACGGUUAGAUCGUUGAAAAAAGUUUUGUAGGAUGCAUAUCGCAUCAAAACGGUAGAUUAAACAAACACUUAGAGUUAAUAUUAUACUUCCAUUAAGUAUAAAAUAAGAUUUGUGGUAUCCACUAGUGUAAAUAUUUUAAAUUGAAGAUCAAAUUCGUUCAAUGCGAAUUUAUAGGGUCGAGUACUGUUGUUGUAAAAAAUCAUUAAAUCGGAGCUAAAAUAACCGUUAAAUUGUGAUUUUUCGUUCACAACCGUCGAAAAUUUUUGUUUUGUU
rnacentral:lncRNA from 1 species